AUUAUUAGGGUUCAAUGCUCAUGAGUUUAUACUAGAUACCAGAUGCUUUAAGAACACUAGUGGCAUUGAAGCUAUUGACAUUGCUAAGAGAAUGCAGGACUAUGGGUUCCAUGCCCCUACAGUAUCCUGGCCAGUUAGUAAUACUCUGAUGAUUGAACCAACGGAGAGUGAGGGAAAGGCAGAACUGGACCGAUACUGUGACGCACUAAUAUUUCAUCCUUUGCCUUAAAC